CUUGAACGCUGGCGGCAGGCCUAACACAUGCAAGUCGAACGAGUGGCGGACGGGUGAGUAAUGUCUGGGAAACUGCCCGAUGGAGGGGGGUACCUACUGGAAACGGUAGCUAAUCCCGCAUACCAUCGGAUUUGCCCAGAUGGGAUUAGCUAGUAGGUGGGGUAACGGCUAACAAAGGCGACGAUCCCGAGCUGGUCUGAGAGGAUGAACAGCCACACUGGAACGGAGACACGGUCCAGACUCCGACGGGAGGCAGCAGUGGGGAAUAUUGCACAAUGGGCGAAAGCCUGAGGCAGCCAGGCCGCGUGUAGGAAGAAGGCCUUCGGGUUGUAAAGUACUUUCAGCGAGGAGGCGUUACUCGCAGAAGAAGCACCGGCUAACUCCGUGCCAGCAGCCGCGGUAAUUC
rnacentral:rRNA from 1 species